AGUGAACGCUGGCGGUAGGCCUAACACAUGCAAGUCGAACGGCAGCACAGUAAGAGCUUGCUCUUACGGGUGGCGAGUGGCGGACGGGUGAGGAAUACAUCGGAAUCUACUUUUUCGUGGGGGAUAACGUAGGGAAACUUACGCUAAUACCGCAUACGACCUACGGGUGAAAGCAGGGGAUCUUCGGACCUUGCGCGAUUGAAUGAGCCGAUGUCGGAUUAGCUAGUUGGCGGGGUAAAGGCCCACCAAGGCGACGAUCCGUAGCUGGUCUGAGAGGAUGAUCAGCCACACUGGAACUGAGACACGGUCCAGACUCCUACGGGAGGCAGCAGUGGGGAAUAUUGGACAAUGGGGGAAAGCCUGAUCCAGCCAUACCGCGUGGGUGAAGAAGGCCUUCGGGUUGUAAAGCCCUUUUGUUGGGAAAGAAAAGCAGCAGGUUAAUACCCCGCUGUUCUGACGGUACCCAAAGAAUAAGCACCGGCUAACUUCGUG
rnacentral:rRNA from 1 species